rnacentral:lncRNA from 1 species
UUAUAUUUGAAAUAAUAGAGAUAAAUCUUUUAUUAGAUUCUAUUGAAUAUAGUUGAGAUUUUUAAAAUAGAAGUUUAAAUCGCCAUUGUUUUAGUGUUAUUUUACACCUUUUUAAUUAGACUUAUUUUCUCAUAAUAACUCAAUAUUAACUCAGACCAAAAAAAAUUAAAAAUAAAACUUUUAUGGUUGGUGGAAAAGUAGAGAGUGUCACGGACACAAAAUACAGACUUGAAAUCUAACAAGAAGUUCAAGAAGAAGUGACAGAACUAGAUUAAACAGAUGAGUACAAGAACAACACCAGAAAGGUAAGCUAGAACUCCAAGAGAUGUG